UUUCCGUAGGUGAACCUGCGGAAGGAUCAUUAACACGUAUCCAAAACGUAUCAACCUCUGUUGGUGGAAUUACAACUUGGGAAACUUGCUGUUGCAAGUAUGCCCCCUCCCGUUCGUUUUACAACAACAACAACAACAAACCCUUUACCGGUCUGACGGAAAACAACACAAUUGUGGUUGGCAACAACCACGAUCAAGAUAUUAUAUUGGAACGCUGAACAACUUUUAGCAACGGAUAUCUUGGUUCUC
rnacentral:misc_RNA from 1 species